rnacentral:rRNA from 1 species
GAUGAACGCUGGCGGCGUGCCUAAUACAUGCAAGUCGAGCGAACGGACGAGAAGCUUGCUUCUCUGAUGUUAGCGGCGGACGGGUGAGUAACACGUGGAUAACCUACCUAUAAGACUGGGAUAACUUCGGGAAACCGGAGCUAAUACCGGAUAAUAUUUUGAACCGCAUGGUUCAAAAGUGAAAGACGGUCUUGCUGUCACUUAUAGAUGGAUCCGCGCUGCAUUAGCUAGUUGGUAAGGUAACGGCUUACCAAGGCAACGAUGCAUAGCCGACCUGAGAGGGUGAUCGGCCACACUGGAACUGAGACACGGUCCAGACUCCUACGGGAGGCAGCAGUAGGGAAUCUUCCGCAAUGGGCGAAAGCCUGACGGAGCAACGCCGCGUGAGUGAUGAAGGUCUUCGGAUCGUAAAACUCUGUUAUUAGGGAAGAACAUAUGUGUAAGUAACUGUGCACAUCUUGACGGUACCUAAUCAGAAAGCCACGGCUAACUACGUGCCAGCAGCCGCGGUAAUACGUAGGUGGCAAGCGUUAUCCGGAAUUAUUGGGCGUAAAGCGCGCGUAGGCGGUUUUUUAAGUCUGAUGUGAAAGCCCACGGCUCAACCGUGGAGGGUCAUUGGAAACUGGAAAACUUGAGUGCAGAGAGGGAAAGUGGAAUUCCAUGUGUAGCGGUGAAAUGCGCAGAGAUAUGGAGGAACACCAGUGGCGAAGGCGACUUUCUGGUCUGUAACUGACGCUGAUGUGCGAAAGCGUGGGGAUCAAACAGGAUUAGAUACCCUGGUAGUCCACGCCGUAAACGAUGAGUGCUAAGUGUUAGGGGGUUUCCGCCCCUUAGUGCUGCAGCUAACGCAUUAAGCACUCCGCCUGGGGAGUACGACCGCAAGGUUGAAACUCAAAGGAAUUGACGGGGACCCGCACAAGCGGUGGAGCAUGUGGUUUAAUUCGAAGCAACGCGAAGAACCUUACCAAAUCUUGACAUCCUUUGACAACUCUAGAGAUAGAGCCUUCCCCUUCGGGGGGCAAAGUGACAGGUGGUGCAUGGUUGUCGUCAGCUCGUGUCGUGAGAUGUUGGGUUAAGUCCCGCAACGAGCGCAACCCUUAAGCUUAGUUGCCAUCAUUAAGUUGGGCACUCUAAGUUGACUGCCGGUGACAAACCGGAGGAAGGUGGGGAUGACGUCAAAUCAUCAUGCCCCUUAUGAUUUGGGCUACACACGUGCUACAAUGGACAAUACAAAGGGCAGCGAAACCGCGAGGUCAAGCAAAUCCCAUAAAGUUGUUCUCAGUUCGGAUUGUAGUCUGCAACUCGACUACAUGAAGCUGGAAUCGCUAGUAAUCGUAGAUCAGCAUACUACGGUGAAUACGUUCCCGGGUCU